AAUGUAUUGAAAACGCAGGUCAAAUGCCGGCUAAAGAGGAGGUAUUGAUCGAUGAAACUGUGCAAGGGUCCAAGAAAGGUCAAAUGCCGGAAGCCACAUCGGCGGAGGCGGUGCUGCCAGGGAUGGCGUUCUGACCGACCUGCAGUAAACUACUUCGAUGCCCCACAUGCCCUAUGCCGGUAUCCACGAAGUUUUCUUUGGCCGAGAAAAGUGAAGAAACCUGCCAAAAAUGUGGGAUUCGAUAUUUGUAUGCCGAUGAAGAUGCCGCGUUUGUGGGUUUGAAGUGCGAGCACUGUGACUACGAGUCUAACGAAGAAUGAAUCCAUUUUUCUCUUCUGCUGUUCGCAUUUCUAUUGCAUUUUUACAUGCUCCACUCAUGUACAUUCCACAUUCCACUUCAUGUGCAGUACAUUGCAAAUUAUGGGUAAGAUAGGCUGAAUUGCUGAUUUAUUUAUUUA